CAUGCUGGUGUGUGAGGAUGUGAGUUCUCAGUUUCCUUUUCGUUUCCAUGCCUGCCAUUUGCUGCUAUACAUCCCUGAUAUGAGGGAUUCUUACUCUGCUGGAACUGAGCCCAAAUAAACCCUACCUUCCAUAAGUAACCUUGGUCACAGCGUUUUAUCACCACCACCAGAAAAGUCACUAAGAAAGAGUUAAAAGGCUGCUUUCGAUGGGCCAGAGCCUCCAGUAACUUCUUGAAUAACAAUACCUGAAAAGCUGUUGCUCAGCCAUCUGAAGGCUUCUUAGCUGGGAGUUCAGCCUCCUGAGUUGAUUUUUUUCUUUGUGUCUUCUGCUUCCCCUGAGACAACUACUGCCUAAUUCAUCUGUUGAUUCAACAUACCUGUUACCGAGUGCCUCCUUUCCUCUGUCCUGUUCUCUGAACU